GCCUUCGUGGCUGUAAAAUGCUGUGUCAUUGGCUGUCAUUGUCAUCGUCAGUGUCCACAUAACGUUGGCUGCUGAGCAGGUACAACGGAGCUGCACCUCACGACUGACCUGUAAAGGAAAAAGAAGAGUUAGCGUGGAACCAUGCUGUGACUGAUAUUCUCUGCCUUGUCCAAUGCUGCCAGCUGGAUAGUUUCCUGCUGUGGCUCCUCGGGGAAGGAGUCAUCACAAGAAACAUGCAAGUGUAAAGGGCAGAAUGUGUGGACAGUCAAUUGUGAUGCAGCAACAUCCAAACCAAAUCCCCCAUAAAUCCUGUGGACAGAAAAGACGUUUCUCCACCUGGUCGUACUUCAUAACUGAUCUGAUUUCAGCAUGUUAACGUCUCAGCUCUGUGCUGCUCUGUGCUUGUUAUAAUGACGGCUUGUCUGAAAACUCCUCAGUGGGGAGUUGGAUAAUGUCUGACGGCUGAUAAGUGCAGCAGUGGCUCGACUGUAUUCAACAUUCACUGUAAUGUGUUGAUCCAGUGCCUUAAAUAAACCAACUGAUGAUCCUUUA